rnacentral:lncRNA from 1 species
GUCAGUUCUGCCUGAGUCAGUGGACUGCAACACCAGCACUUUCAUCUGCCCUGAGCUCCAUUUCUCCUUCAGCGCCUCUAGGAUUUCUGAGUCACCACAUUCCUUUCUUCUACAUUCUAUUACUGAGGCUUUAUAUUCAUUACCCGUUAUAAUAAAAUUGAAAGCCUCAAAAAGAUUUCUCAGAAAAAUUUAAAUCAGCUGAGUCAGCCAGAGGCCACCUCAACAUGAUGAAAGCAGCAGCAGGCCCUGUGAUGUGAUAGGAGGAGCCAUUGUGCUUGUCGUGUGCCUUCCCUGCUGGGAGCCAGG